AGGUAAGCUACUAAGAGCGAAUGGUGGAUGCCUUGACUGGUAAAGGCGAUGAAGGACGUACUAGACUGCGAUAAGCUACGGGGAGCUGUCAAGAAGCUUUGAUCCGUAGAUUUCCGAAUGGGGCAACCCAAUGUAUAGAGAUAUACAUUACCUAUAUAGGAGCGAACGAGGGGAAUUGAAACAUCUUAGUACCCUCAGGAAAAGAAAUCAAUAGAGAUUGCGUCAGUAGCGGCGAGCGAAAGCGCAAGAGGGCAAACCCAGUGCUUGCACUGGGGGUUGUAGGACUGCAAUAUGCAAGAGGUAAGUUUAGCAGAACAUUCUGGAAAGUAUAACCAUAGAGGGUGAUAGUCCCGUAUGCGAAAAACAAACCUUAGCUAGCAGUAUCCUGAGUAGGGCGGGACACGAGGAAUCCUGUCUGAAUCCGGGUCGACCACGAUCCAACCCUAAAUACUAAUACCAGAUCGAUAGUGCACAAGUACCGUGAGGGAAAGGUGAAAAGAACUGAGGUGAUCAGAGUGAAAUAGAACCUGAAACCAUUUGCUUACAAUCAUUCAGAGCCCUAUGUAGCAAUACAGGGUGAUGGACUGCCUUUUGCAUAAUGAGCCUGCGAGUUGUGGUGUCUGGCAAGGUUAAGCAAACGCGAAGCCGUAGCGAAAGCGAGUCUGAAUAGGGCGCUUAGUCAGAUGCUGCAGACCCGAAACGAAGUGAUCUAUCCAUGAGCAAGUUGAAGCUAGUGUAAGAACUAGUGGAGGACUGAACCCAUAGGCGUUGAAAAGCCCCGGGAUGACUUGUGGAUAGGGGUGAAAGGCCAAUCAAACUUCGUGAUAGCUGGUUCUCUCCGAAAUAUAUUUAGGUAUAGCGUUGUGUCGUAAUAUAAGGGGGUAGAGCACUGAAUGGGCUAGGGCAUACACCAAUGUACCAAACCCUAUCAAACUCCGAAUACCUUAUAUGUAAUCACAGCAGUCAGGCGGCGAGUGAUAAAAUCCGUCGUCAAGAGGGAAACAACCCAGACUACCAGCUAAGGUCCCUAAAUCUUACUUAAGUGGAAAACGAUGUGAAGUUACUUAAACAACCAGGAGGUUGGCUUAGAAGCAGCCAUCCUUUAAAGAAAGCGUAAUAGCUCACUGGUCUAGUGAUUUUGCGCGGAAAAUAUAACGGGGCUAAAGUAAGUACCGAAGCUGUAGACUUAGUUUACUAAGUGGUAGGAGAGCGUUCUAUUUGCGUCGAAGGUAUACCGGUAAGGAGUGCUGGAGCGAAUAGAAGUGAGCAUGCAGGCAUGAGUAGCGAUAAUUAAUGUGAGAAUCAUUAACGCCGUAAACCCAAGGUUUCCUACGCGAUGCUCGUCAUCGUAGGGUUAGUCGGGUCCUAAGUCGAGUCCGAAAGGGGUAGACGAUGGCAAAUUGGUUAAUAUUCCAAUACCAACAUUAGUGUGCGAUGGAAGGACGCUUAGGGCUAAGGGGGCUAGCGGAUGGAAGUGCUAGUCUAAGGUCGUAGGAGGUUAUACAGGCAAAUCCGUAUAACAAUACUCCGAGAACUGAAAGGCUUUUUGAAGUCUUCGGAUGGAUAGAAGAACCCCUGAUGCCGUCGAGCCAAGAAAAGUUUCUAAGUUUAGCUAAUGUUGCCCGUACCGUAAACCGACACAGGUGGGUGGGAUGAGUAUUCUAAGGCGCGUGGAAGAACUCUCUUUAAGGAACUCUGCAAAAUAGCACCGUAUCUUCGGUAUAAGGUGUGGUUAGCUUUGU
rnacentral:rRNA from 1 species